rnacentral:misc_RNA from 1 species
UCCGGCUUAUCACCGGCGGUUUCUUUAGAGUGCCCAACUAAAUGAUGGCAACUAAAGACGAGGGUUGCGCUCGUUGCGGGACUUAACCCAACAUCUCACGACACGAGCUGACGACAGCCAUGCAGCACCUGUGUAGGCUGGUAUUGCUACCUCGUCGCGCUUUCACGCUUCUACUACCUACAUGUCAAGGCCAGGUAAGGUUUUUCGCGUUGCAUCGAAUUAAUCCACAUAAUCCACCGCUUGUGCGGGUCCCCGUCAAUUCCUUUGAGUUUUAACCUUGCGGCCGUACUCCCCAGGCGGUCAACUUCACGCGUUAGCUUCGUUACCAAGGAAUUGCUUCCCCGACAACCAGUUGACAUAGUUUAGGGCUAGGACUAC